AAGGAAGAAGGGAAGGAGAGGAAGAAGAGUAGGGGCUGCGGCUGCGGCGAUGGCAGCUGCAGUUGGAAGAGAAGAAGGAGAGGAAGAUGAGCAGGGGAGGAAGAAAAGGCUGUGGCCGUGGCUGAGGCUGCGACUGCAGCAUGCAGCUGGGAAAGAAGAGAAGGAAAGGAAGAAGAAGAGAAAGGAAGAAGGGAAGGAGAGGAAGAAGAGAAGGGGCUGCGGCUGCGGCGAUGGCAGCUGCAGUUGGCAGAGAAGAAGGAGAGGAAGAUGAGCAGGGGAGGAAGAAAAGGCUGUGGCCGUGGCUGAGGCUGCGACUGCAGCAUGCAGCUGGGAAAGAAGAGAAGGAAAGGAAGAAGAAGAGAAAGGAAGAAGGGAAGGAGAGGAAGAAGAGAAGGGGCUACGGCUGCGGCGAUGGCAGCUGCAGUUGGAAGAGAAGAAGGAGAGGAAGAUGAGCAGGGGAGGAAGAAGAGGCUGCGAGUGUGGUGGCUGUGGCCGUGGCUGCGACUCCGGCUGCGGCUGCGACGUUGGCUGCGGUAGCUGCGGCAGCGGUGGUGGCUGCAGUAGCUGCAGUAGCUGCUUUUGGGAAAGAGAAAGAGUAGGAACGAGAGAAGGGAAGAAGGAAAUAGUGCAGUGGAAGGGGGCUGCGGUUGUGACCGCAGUUGCGGUCGUGGCUGCGAUUGUGGCAGCGGCAGCGGCGGCGGCUGUGGCAGCUGCGUUUAGGAAAGAAAAAGAAUGAAUGAGAGUAAAAGAGAGCAGGUGACUGUGCCUCGAUGUUCGACACGUGGUGUAGUUGCGAAGAAAGGAAGAAAACGAGAGCACAAAACGAAACAGAGAGAGGACACGGAGGAAAAGUAGAAAGAUUGGAUUGGCACCUUCCUUGGAUAUUCAGAUCAAAAUAUUUGAAAGGUCAGCUUGUCACUCUUCGAGAUGUUUGAUUUGGGCUGAGGCAGUGGAUAGCUAUUCAGAAUAAUGGGCAAGUCUGGUUGGUUAUUACGAUAUUGUUGUAUAAGUAUGUCUUGUAUAUAAUGAAAUGUUGUCGAUGAACCGAAAUGGAUAUACUGUGUCCAAGUGUUAGGAGAUCUCUCUUAUUUGGAAUUUCAGAAUGUUAAGUCUAAUUUAUGGUGAUAUGAACUUGUGGUGAAUAGUUGGAGUUCUGAUUGUAUAAUUUAUUUAGCUUGUGGAUUUAUAAAUGUUGUUCAUUUUUUUUGUCAA